rnacentral:rRNA from 1 species
UAACACGUAAGCAACCUGCCUAUCAGAGGGGAACAACAGUUAGAAAUGACUGCUAAUACCGCAUAUGCCUUAGUAUCGCAUGGUACAAAAGGGAAAGGAGCAAUCCGCUGAUAGAUGGGCUUGCGUCUGAUUAGCUAGUUGGUGGGGUAAAGGCCUACCAAGGCGACGAUCAGUAGCCGGACUGAGAGGUUGAACGGCCACAUUGGGACUGAGACACGGCCCAAACUCCUACGGAAGGCAGCAG